rnacentral:rRNA from 1 species
GAGCUUGCUCUUAUGGGUGGCGAGUGGCGGACGGGUGAGGAAUACAUCGGAAUCUACCUUUUCGUGGGGGAUAACGUAGGGAAACUUACGCUAAUACCGCAUACGACCUUCGGGUGAAAGCAGGGGACCUUCGGGCCUUGCGCGGAUAGAUGAGCCGAUGUCGGAUUAGCUAGUUGGCGGGGUAAAGGCCCACCAAGGCGACGAUCCGUAGCUGGUCUGAGAGGAUGAUCAGCCACACUGGAACUGAGACACGGUCCAGACUCCUACGGGAGGCAGCAGUGGGGAAUAUUGGACAAUGGGCGCAAGCCUGAUCCAGCCAUACCGCGUGGGUGAAGAAGGCCUUCGGGUUGUAAAGCCCUUUUGUUGGGAAAGAAAAGCAGUCGGCUAAUACCCGGUUGUUCUGACGGUACCCAAAGAAUAAGCACCGGCUAACUUCGUGCCAGCAGCCGCGGUAAUACGAAGGGUGCAAGCGUUACUCGGAAUUACUGGGCGUAAAGCGUGCGUAGGUGGUUGUUUAAGUCUGUUGUGAAAGCCCUGGGCUCAACCUGGGAAUUGCAGUGGAUACUGGGCGACUAGAGUGUGGUAGAGGGUAGUGGAAUUCCCGGUGUAGCAGUGAAAUGCGUAGAGAUCGGGAGGAACAUCCAUGGCGA